ACGUCUACAUUAGAUACCCGGGUAGUCCCAGCCGUAAACUAUGCGCGUUAGGUGUAUCGGUGACCACGAGUCACCGAGGUGCCGAAGGGAAACCGUGAAACGUGCCGCCUGGGAAGUACGGUCGCAAGGCUGAAACUUAAAGGAAUUGGCGGGGAGCACCACAACGGGUGGAGCCUGCGGUUUAAUUGGACUCAACGCCGGGAAGCUCACCGGAUAAGACAGCGGAAUGAUUGCCGGGCUGAAGACUCUGCAUGACUAGCUG
rnacentral:rRNA from 1 species